UUGACCUCGAAUCAGGUGGGACUACCCGCUGAACUUAAGCAUAUCAAUAAGCGGAGGAAAAGAAACUAACAAGGAUUCCCCUAGUAACGGCGAGUGAAGCGGGAAAAGCUCAAAUUUAAAAUCUGGCAGUCUUUGAUUGUCCGAAUUGUAAUCUAGAGAAGCGUUUUCCGUGCUGGACUGUGUACAAGUUUCCUGGAUACGGAACAUCAUAGAGGGUGAGAAUCCCGUCCUUGACACAGACUCCCAGUGCAUUGUGAUGCGCUCUCGACGAGUCGAGUUGUUUGGGAUUGCAGCUCAAAAUGGGAGGUAAAUUCCUUCUAAAGCUAAAUAUUGGCGAGAGACCGAUAGCGAACAAGUACCGUGAGGGAAAGAUGAAAAGCACUUUGGAAAGAGAGUUAAACAGUACGUGAAAUUGUUAAAAGGGAAACGCUUGAAGUCAGUCAUGUCUGCUUUGGAGUCAACCUUACUUCGGUUUGGUGCAUUUCCUCGCAGACAGGCCAGCGUCCAUGUUGUUCGUCAGAAAAGGGGUGAAGGAAUGUGGCUCCUUCGGGAGUGUUAUAGCUUUUGCUCGUAUGUGGGGAACAAUAUGGAGUGGUACAGCAUGCUUCGGUGGUGC
rnacentral:rRNA from 1 species